GAGAGAGAGCGGGAACGUUAGUCGUUAGGAAAGCUUCCUGAACUCUCCACGUGUUGGAGACGACUGCGGUACAUUUUGAGCCAACGAGAGAAAAGUUAUUGAAGCAAAACUAUCCUGGUGUUGGUCAGGCGGCACUGGCCCGUCUGCAACUUGUACAAAACUCUGCUGCCCGACCCUUGACUAGAACCCGCAGGGGCGAACAUAUCACCCCGAUUUUAGCAUCUCUUCACUGGCUCCCGAACUGCUUCAGCCUUACAGUCCAACCAGAACCCUCAGAUCAGCUGACCACCUGCUUCUAGUAGUCCCAAGAUCAAGGCUGAAGCUUAGGGGUUUAGGGGUGCAUUUGCGGUAAUGGCGCCCAGGCUGUGGAACCAAUUACCACUUACUAUUAGACAGGCCCCCUCACUUAUGGAUUUUAAAUCACGCCUUAAAACAUUUUAUUUUUCUUCAGCUUUUAAUGUGCAAUGACAGUUUAUGACCUCACCUUUUAUUUAUUUUA